rnacentral:miRNA from 1 species
UAGCAUCAUUUGACACCCUCAGUGUGCCUGCUCUGCCCUAGAGGGAUGUACAAUGAUGCUA